rnacentral:misc_RNA from 1 species
GAUGAAGAACGCAGCGAAAUGCGAUAAGUAGUGUGAAUUGCAGAAUUCAGUGAAUCAUCGAAUCUUUGAACGCACAUUGCGCCCUUUGGUAUUCCUUAGGGCAUGCCUGUUCGAGCGUCAUUUAAACCUUCAAGCUAAGCUUGGUGUUGGGUGACUGUCCGCUUCACGGCGGACUCGCCUCAAAAUUAUUGGAGGCCGGUACAUUGGCUUCGAGCGCAGCAGAAACGCGAACUCGGGCCCGUCGUAUUGGCUCCCAGAAGCUAUCUUCACAAUUUUGACCUCGGAUCAGGUAGGGAUACCCGCUGAACUUAAGCAUAUCAAUAAGCGGAGGA